UGGGUCGUCGCUGGCUUCUAGGAGCAUGUGCACGCCUUGUCAUCUUUAUCCAUCCACCUGUGCACAUUUUGUAGUCUUGGAGGAAUGAGCGUGGAACCGCCUCGAGGAAAAACAUCCUCGGAAAAGAGGUCUGCCACAGGCUGAUCUUGUUGUCGGUGUUAGCGCAAGUUUCUCUGGGUCUAUGUCUUUCAUAUACCACGUAGAAUGUCUCUGAAUGCCUUCAUUGGGCCUUAGUGCCUGUAAUACAAAUACAACUUUCAGCAACGGAUCUCUUGGCUCUCGCAUCGAUGAAGAACGCAGCGAAAUGCGAUAAGUAAUGUGAAUUGCAGAAUUCAGUGAAUCAUCGAAUCUUUGAACGCACCUUGCGCUCCUUGGUAUUCCGAGGAGCAUGCCUGUUUGAGUGUCAUUUAAUUCUCAACCCCUUCCAGCUUUUGUCUGGUCUUGGUGGCUUGGAUGUGGGGGAUCUUGCCGGCUUCCUUCAGAGGUCGGCUCCCCUGAAAUGCACUAGUGGAACCGUUUGCGGGACUGCCAACCGGUGUGAUAACUAUCUAUGCCAAAGGCACCCGCUCUCCUUCAGUUCUGCUUCUAACUGUCCUUAACUUCGGACAACCAUACAUUAAUGAAUGCUUGACCUCAAAUCAGGUAGGACUACCCGCUGAACUUAAGCAUAUCAAUAAGCGGAGGAA
rnacentral:rRNA from 1 species